rnacentral:rRNA from 1 species
UGAGGAAUAUUGGUCAAUGGGCGAGAGCCUGAACCAGCCAAGUAGCGUGCAGGAAGACGGCCCUAUGGGUUGUAAACUGCUUUUAUGUGGGGAUAAAGUGCGUGACGUGUCAUGCAUUGCAGGUACCACAUGAAUAAGGACCGGCUAAUUCCGUGCCAGCAGCCGCGGUAAUACGGAAGGUCCGGGCGUUAUCCGGAUUUAUUGGGUUUAAAGGGAGCGUAGGCUGUCUAUUAAGCGUGUUGUGAAAUAUACCGGCUCAACCGGUGGCUUGCAGCGCGAACUGGUCGACUUGAGUAUGCAGGAAGUAGGCGGAAUUCAUGGUGUAGCGAUGAAAUGCUUAGAUAUCAUGACGAACUCCGGUUGCGAAGGCGGCUUACGGGAGCGCAACUGACGCUAAAGCUCGAAGGUGCGGGUAUCGAACAGG